UUAAAAAUCCCACUCCACCUUGUGUAAAAUUGGUUAGUCAUCAACAUUCUGAACAAACAAGUAAAUAUUAUUCCCAGCCAUUACAAACGAGCCUCUCAGAUCAAACCACAAUAAACAUAUUUUCCUCGCUGAUCUAAUUUAGGACGAUCAAAACAAGGAUGGCGUUUUCAACAAAACGGCGAAGAGAAAUAGAAACCUAAUUAAUAAACUGCGAACGAAAUUUAGAACAGACAAGCCUGAUGGCGAUCAGAAAUGCACAAUUGCCACCGCACACAUCAAUCCCUUGCUCACCUGCGUAUCGCUUGGCCAUUUUACAGCAGCAAACACCCCCGUGCUCAUAGAACCAAGUCCCAACACCUCAUCAAAAAUAACCUAGUUCAUCAUGUAACAACACAGCACCGUCGGAUACUGUCCAACAUAACCUAGCCACCCACUAAUCGGUAGGACGGUCCGGCAUAUUUUUAGAAACCGGUGUAUUCUCAAGACGCCACGGUCCAGCCUCGUUUUU